UUCGUCCGCAUCACGUUGGGGUUUGCCACGGCUUCUCCAGUUUCCUGAGCUUCUGCUUUCUCCUGAACAACCCUUGUAUGUAAGUAUUUCGAAGGCUCUAUACAGUACAGUUCUUUUCUUUGCUGUUAUUGAUGUCUGAAACUCUGUUCCCUGUGGAGAAAUUUGCUCUCAUUUUACAAAAGCAGAAGCAAGUAGAAC